UUUUGCAAUAUGUAUGAGCUAAUUAAAAGCAUUAUAAGUUGUGCAUAAGAUUUCAAUAAACUGAGACUUGCUGACCAUGAUAGCAUGAGGCUUGUCUUCCGCGGCUCCGGUAAUCCCCGACCUCUGGCGACAUCUGGCGCCCGAACAGCCUUUCCCUUUCCUCCUUAGAGCUGCGUUGGGGACGGGUCCCUUGGACGGCGAUAGCUCGCCCUGAGCGCCACAUCGGUGGGCUCUGCCGCUACGUGCUGCCGACGCCUGGGGGGUUGCAACGGUACCGGUCCACAGUGGAUACCCGGGAGGUGGACACGUGCUGCCAUACCCGAUGAGCAGCCCGGUGAGCAGCCCGGACAGGAGAAGGCAACUCCGGCUUCAGAAGGCGAUUGCACCUCUCCUGCUGCAGAUUGAGGAAAGAUUCGGCACCCGGAUUCUGUUUGAGUCGGAACGGGAGA